UAGACGUUCAACUUUGUAACUUCACCUUAGUCUCUGAGGGCCACAGCUUCAUUUACAUGAGAACUUGAAGAUUUUUAGUGUUAUGCCUACUCUGCCAAUUCUUGGAACAUUUGCGGAACUGAGAAUUUACUUCUUCGUUUAUUACUUCCUAACUACAUUUUAAAGACUCAUUUGUUCUAGAUUCAGAUCAUUCAACAAAACAUGGCAUGAUUUCCACAGUCUCUGACAUUCUGAUUGCAUUGCUUGAGAAAAUUCUCAGUCUGGGAAUCUCCUUAAAAUGCAGCACAGAUGAUGGCUGAAUAGGAACAGCUCCGGUCUGCAGCUCCCAGCGAGAUCAACGCAGAAGGCGGGUGAUUUCUGCAUUUCCAACUGAGGGUGUAACACUGUGACCAACGAAGAGAGUGUUUUCUAUCAGUGACUCGCAGACUUCCCUUUCACUGGAAUCCAGCUUAUUAGCUGCAUGGUUAACUUUGGAGCCAGGAAAACAUCCUGCACAUGACACUGCCAUCAAGCAGAGGAGACAUGUUUCUCGGCUUCCCCUCUCUGGGACUUAAUAGCCUCUGAAGGCUAGCCUUUACUGACUCAUGAAGCUGUGUCUGCCUGGGGUCAGUGGUGGAGACAUUGCGUUAACCCCAGCAAGCGAGCCAUCACCAGAGCUUUGCACAGGGAGACACCACAUAGAAAGGCAGAUGAGGCAACACACACACCAUCCCCAGACAGCCAUGGGUCCCCAGAGACAGGAAAAAUAUGUGUUUUCUUAAAGAAUUAGAAAAGAAAACCUUGCUUUUUCCUGUGUGGCUCAUUGGUAGGAGAUCUCAAAUUCUAACCCUUGUUUUCUCUUUUACCUCUCUGUCUGCUAAAAAGCACUCCUUAGAUCCAGUAUCUAGCAUGGUGAGCCUCCUGGAUGCAGUGCUGCAGUGGCCACUGCUGGGUCAAAAACAAACACUGGGAAAGGAGGAAAAUGAUGUUUUUCUCUCUUUCAAUAAAGCAUUUGAAAUCUCUAAAAA
rnacentral:lncRNA from 1 species